rnacentral:rRNA from 1 species
GGGAAACGGGAUGAUGGCUCUGGGUCCACCUCCCACCCGUGUUUAUCGUACCUUGUUGCUUCGGCGGGCCCGCCUCACGGCCGCCGGGGGGCAUCCGCCCCCGGGCCCGCGCCCGCCGAAGACACACAAACGAACUCUUGUCUGAAGAUUGCAGUCUGAGUACUUGACUAAAUCAGUUAAAACUUUCAACAACGGAUCUCUUGGUUCCGGCAUCGAUGAAGAACGCAGCGAAAUGCGAUAAGUAAUGUGAAUUGCAGAAUUCAGUGAAUCAUCGAGUCUUUGAACGCACAUUGCGCCCCCUGGUAUUCCGGGGGGCAUGCCUGUCCGAGCGUCAUUGCUGCCCUCAAGCACGGCUUGUGUGUUGGGCUCUCGCCCCCCGCUUCCGGGGGGCGGGCCCGAAAGGCAGCGGCGGCACCGCGUCCGGUCCUCGAGCGUAUGGGGCUUCGUCACCCGCUCUGUAGGCCCGGCCGGCGCCCGCCGGCGAACACCAUCAAUCUUAACCAGGUUGACCUCGGAUCAGGUAGGGAUACCCGCUGAACUUAAGCAUAUCAAUAAGAAGG